rnacentral:rRNA from 1 species
CAAUAGCGUAUAUUAACGUUGUUGCAGUUAAAAAGCUCGUAGUUGGAUUUCUGGAGGGAGCGUCGGCCCGUAUUUACGAGUGCGUGACGUCUCUGUCCAUCCUUGCGGGAAGGCACGGCAUUGAUUUGUUGAGUCGGAUCGCAUCAUUUACUGUGAAAAAAUUAGAGUGUUCAAAGCAGGCUUUCGCUUGAAUACAUUAGCAUGGAAUAAUAAGAUAGGACUUUGGUGCUAUUUUGUUGGUUGAGCCUAAAGUAAUGAUUAAUAGGGAUAGUUGGGGGCACCUGUAUUGCGUUGUCAGAGGUGAAAUUCUUGGAUUUACGCAAGACAAACAGCUGCGAAAGCGUCUGCCAAGGAUGUUUUCAUUAA